rnacentral:rRNA from 1 species
UACGGGGGGGGGGCAAGCGUUGUUCGGAAUUACUGGGCGUAAAGGGCUCGUAGGCGGCCAACUAAGUCGGACGUGAAAUCCCUCGGCUCAACCGGGGAACUGCGUCCGAUACUGGAUGGCUUGAGUUCGGGAGAGGGAUGCGGAAUUCCAGGUGUAGCGGUGAAAUGCGUAGAUAUCUGGAGGAACACCGGUGGCGAAGGCGGCAUCCUGGACCGACACUGACGCUGAGGAGCGAAAGCCAGGGGAGCAAACGGG